rnacentral:rRNA from 1 species
CAGCAGCCGCGGUAAUACGUAGGGGGCAAGCGUUGUCCGGAUUUACUGGGCGUAAAGGGCGCGUAGGCGGUCACCGCAAGUCGACUGUGAAAUCUCCGGGCUUAACCCGGAAAGGUCAGCCGAUACUGCGGGGCUAGAGUGCAGAAGGGGCAACUGGAAUUCUCGGUGUAGCGGUGAAAUGCGUAGAUAUCGAGAGGAACACCUGCGGCGAAGGCGGGUUGCUGGGCCGACACUGACGCUGAUGCGCGAAAGCCAGGGGAGCGAACGGGAUUAGAUACCCUGGUAGUCCACGCCGUAAACGAUGGGAACCUGACGUCGGUCUGCUCUGCGGAUCGGUGUCGUAGCUAACGCGCUAAGUUCCCCGCCUGGGGAGUACGGUCGCAAGACUGAAACUCAAAGGAAUUGACGG